GUCUAUUCAUCGCGCGCGUUGCUACGUGAUGAACCGUCGCAGAAGCCUUCGGUUCGGUUUGUUGACCCGUGUUUUGGAGGCCCAUUUCAGCCCGCGGCCCAUUUAGGCUUGGUCUUGUUUUUCCUCUUUCUAUCCCCUCCGCCUUCUUUUCCCGAUGACAGGUUAGGGUUUCUGUUCUUCCUGGAGGUUCACGCGAUUGGGAUUUCUCUCUUCAUGCCGAUGCGUACUUGUUUCCAGCUCGUUAUCUUCUCAUUGUACUUGAACUCAGUUCAAUUUGGUCAUCUUUGAAGGGGUUUACCAUGAAUUCUGAAGUCAAGCUUUUAUGUUGUGGCACCUCAAGAAUGUCAAAGUGACCAGGUUCCAUGAGAUGAUACUUUUUGCAGUUGAAGUAGUUUACAUGUCUACAGCUCUGAAAAACUAAGUGUACUGUUUAUUACUCUGUUUCGUCAUAGAACCUUUUCUUCAGUUCCAUCUUUCUUAACAUCUGGACUAGAAUUCUGAGAACAUUUGAAUGUGUUCUGUCACUCCAUUUGAAAAUGUUCCAAAAAAGGUUCCAGUAAUCACUUCUGAGAACAUUUGAAAAUGUUUUGUUACCCCA